rnacentral:rRNA from 1 species
ACGCCCGGUCCCAUUCCGAACCCGGAAGCUAAGACCCACAGCGCCGAUGGUACUGCACCCGGGAGGGUGUGGGAGAGUAGGUCACCGCCGGAA